rnacentral:sRNA from 1 species
CGUGAGUCUGUGCCGAAUCCCGGCGUGAUGCCGGGAGCGGGGGAACCAGGUUCCGGGGCGUAUCUCGCGCAGGCGAGUAGGGCAGUCUCUCGGCCCGAGCCCGUCAGCUAACCUCGCAGGCGACGAGAGAGGGUAG